ACUCCUACGGGAGGCAGCAGUGGGGAAUUUUGGACAAUGGGGGCAACCCUGAUCCAGCAAUGCCGCGUGAGUGAAGAAGGCCCUCGGGUUGUAAAGCUCUUUUGUCAGGGAAGAAACGGUGAUCUCUAAUAUAGAUUGCUAAUGACGGUACCUGAAGAAUAAGCACCGGCUAACUACGUGCCAGCAGCCGCGGUAAUACGUAGGGGUGCAAGCGUUAAUCGGAAUUACUGGGCGUAAAGCGUGCGCAGGCGGUUUUGUAAGUCUGAUGUGAAAUCCCCGGGGCUCAACCUGGGAACUGCAUUGGAGACUGCAAGGCUAGAGUGUGUCAGAGGGGGUAGAAUUCCACGUGUAGCAGUGAAAUGCGUAGAGAUGUGGAGGAAUACCGAUGGCGAAGGCAGCCCCCUGGGAUAACACUGACGCUCAUGCACGAAAGCGUGGGGAGCAAACAGGAUUAGAUACCCUGGUAGGAUAGCC
rnacentral:rRNA from 1 species